rnacentral:lncRNA from 1 species
ACGAGUCCUUCUCUUUCAUCGCUUCGUAGUCCAUAUUUCAUUCAGGCUACUCUAAAAGACUCUUCACAAGUAGGCGCAAUCGUUGCAAUCAUUCAAGCCUUUGGAUGGAGAGAAGUUGUAACCAUUUACGAGAAUACUGAAUUUGGAGAAGGGAUUAUACCAUUUUUAACCGAUGCCUUAGAAAAGGUAAAAGUGCGUGUACCGUACAGGAGUGUCAUUCAAACUUCAGCAACAGAUGAUCAGAUCCUCGCAGAGCUUUACAAGUUGAUGGCUAUGCAAACCAGAGUUUUCAUCGUCCACAUGUUGAACCCUCUUGCUUCUCGCCUGUUCACCAAAGUGGAACAACUAGGGAUGAUGAGUAAAGAUUAUGCAUGGAUAAUAACAGAUAGCAUCACAAACGAUUUAAAUUCAAUGAACCCUUCUGUCAUAGCAUCCAUGCUAGGAGUAAUAGGAGUAAAACCUUAUGUUCCAAAUACAAAGGAACUGGAUGACUUUAUAACUCGAUACAAGAAAAGGGUUCUGCAAAGCAAUCGAAAAGCCCUUGGCGUGGACAUUUACGGGCUAUGGGCUUACGACUCGGCCAUAGCACUAGCCAUGGCAGCAGAAACUGCAGGACUAAAAAAUCUUACAUAUCAAGAAACGAACACAUCAACAAAUUCUACGGAUCUUGAAGCCAUUGGAGUAUCAAUAAGUGGACCAGAGCUCAUUCAGGCUUUAUCAAAUAUCACAUUUAGGGGCCUUGCUGGAGAUUUUCGAUUGGUCGAUGGCCAACUCCAAGCGCCUCCAUAUGAGAUAGUCAAUAUGGUUGGUCCUGGAGCUAGAGGCAUAGGAUAUUGGACAAAAGAGAACGGAAUCAUCAACAAACUGAACUUCACUAGUUCAAGCACAAAUGAAUAUUCCACUUCCAAGUCCAACCUUGGGCCUACUAUAUGGCCAGGCGACGAAUCAUUUCCACCUAAAGGUUGGGUGGUUCCUACAAGAGGGAAGAAAUUGAAGGUAGGAGUACCCGUAAAGGAUGGUUUCACAGAUUUCGUUCGUGUAACUUGGAAUUCCGACAAUUCUACAACAGUGGAAGGAUACUGCAUAGAUGUUUUUGAUGCUGUGAUGGCAGCACUGCCAUAUGGUGUGCCGUAUGAAUACAUUCCAUUUGCAACAACUGAUCACAAGAUGGCUGGUGAUUACAAUGCGCUGACCCAGCAAGUGUACCUUGGAGUAAGUAUCUUCUUUAUUACAAUGAAUUUAAAAAUCAAACACAUUUUUUUAUCAACAUAGAGCAAGAUGGUACAGCUGAC